rnacentral:rRNA from 1 species
UACGAAGGGGGCUAGCGUUGUUCGGAAUUACUGGGCGUAAAGCGCACGUAGGCGGAUUUGUUAGUCAGGGGUGAAAUCCCGGGGCUCAACCUCGGAACUGCCUUUGAUACUGCAAGUCUCGAGUCCGGAAGAGGUGAGUGGAAUUCCUAGUGUAGAGGUGAAAUUCGUAGAGAUUAGGAGGAACACCAGUGGCGAAGGCGGCUCACUGGUCCGGUACUGACGAUGAGGUGCGAAAGAGUGGGGAGCAAACAGG